AAAGGAAUAGACGGGGGCCCGCACAAGCAGUGGAGUAUGUGGUUUAAUUCGACGCAACGCGAAAAACCUUACCAGGUCUUGACAUCGAUUGACGAACGUAGAGAUACGUUUUUCCCUUCGGGGACAAGAAGACAGGUGGUGCAUGGUUGUCGUCAGCUCGUGUCGUGAGAUGUUUGGUUAAGUCCAGCAACGAGCGCAACCCCUAUUGUCAGUUGCUACGCAAGAGCACUCUGGCGAGACUGCCGAUGUAAAUCGGAGGAAGGUGGGGAUGACGUCAAAUCAUCAUGCCCUUUAUGACCUGGGCUACACACGUACUACAAUGGCGGUUAACAGAGGGGAGCGAAGAGGUGACUCGGAGCAAAUCCUCAAAAGCCGUCUCAGUUCAGAUUGCAGGCUGCAACUCGCCUGCAUGAAGUCGGAAUUGCUAGUAAUCGCGAAUCAGCAUGUCGCGGUGAAUACGUUCCCGGGCCUUGUACACACCGCCCGU
rnacentral:rRNA from 1 species